ACUCUUGUAGCGCAAUUGGUUAGCGCGUCUGCCUGAUACGCAGGAGGUUGCUGGUUCGAUUCCAGCCAAGGGUA
rnacentral:tRNA from 1 species